GAUGAACGCUGGCGGCGUGCCUAAUACAUGCAAGUCGAGCGAACAGACGAGGAUCUUGCUCCUCUGACGUUAGCGGCGGACGGGUGAGUAACACGUGGCUAACCUACCUAUAAGACUGGGAUAACUUCGGGAAACCGGAGCUAAUACCGGAUAAUAUAUUGAACCGCAUGGUUCCAUAGUGAAAGACGGUUUUGCUGUCACUUAUCGAUGGAUCCGCACCGCAUUAGCUCGUUGGUAAGGAAACGGCUUACCAAAGCAGCGCGUCGAAUACGAUCUGCGAGGUGGAAAGGCCAAGCAGGAAGUUAGAGACGGACCAGACACCUACGAGGAGAAGCAUAAGCAAGUCUUCCACAAUGGGCGAAAUCUUGACACAACAACGCCGCGUGAAUCAUGAAGGUCUUCGAAUCGUAAACAGCUGUGAUUAGGGAAGAACAAAUGUGUAAAUAACUAUGCACGUCUUGACGGUACCUAGUCAGAAAGCCACGGCUAACUACGUG
rnacentral:rRNA from 1 species